AGGACGAACGCUGGCGGCGUGCUUAACACAUGCAAGUCGAGCGGAAAGGCCCUUCGGGGUACUCGAGCGGCGAACGGGUGAGUAACACGUGAGUAACCUGCCCCUAGCUCUGGGAUAGCUCCGGGAAACCGGGAUUAAUACCAGAUACGACCACUUUAGACAUCUGUCGUGGUGGAAAGGAUUCCGGCUAGGGAUGGGCUCGCGGCCUAUCAGCUUGUUGGUGGGGUAACGCCUACCAAGGCGACGACGGUAGCCGGCCUGAGAGGGCGACCGGCCACACUGGGACUGAGACACGGCCCAGACUCCUACGGAAGGCAGCAGUGGGAAUAUUGCGCAAUGGGCGAAAGCCUGACGCAGCGACGCCGCGUGGGGAUGAAGGCCUUCGGGUUGUAAACCCCGUUUCAGCAGGGACGAAGCGAAAGUGACGGUACCUGCAGAAGAAGCGCCGGCUAACUACGCGCCAGCAGCCGC
rnacentral:rRNA from 1 species